ensembl:lincRNA
UUCAUCCCCAUCAGCACAAAGAAGAAAGAGGAGAGACGGAGCAGAGACUGCCACUUAGGCAGUAGUAGGUGCUAUGCAGAGGCACAGCUAUGGCCUCCUUGCAAAGGCCUCUGCCCAUUUUACAGAUGGAGAUUCAAAGGUUCUCAGAGACAGGCACAGUAUUUCCAGCAGAGCAGCAGAAGCAACGCCAGGAGCAACAGGAGGAAGAUGAGCAGGGGGAUGAGCCACCAGAAGGAGCCGGGAGGGCAGUCUGCAGGGACAGUGCUGUUGGGCCCAGGGCUGCCGUCGCCCUCCACGGUGUAGUUGUAAGUGCAGUCGUCAUCCUCGUCCCGGAAGGAGCAGUACUCCACCACCUCUUCCGCUGAACCCACAGAUUGUUAGCGCGGCACCCUGACCCAGCCCUCCACUUGGGGCAUCCCAGGGCUUGGAGAGGUAUUACCUCCUCUGCAGCCCUACUAUGAGGUCUGGGGGAAGAGCCCCUGACUAGAGAAGUCACCAGGAUGAAGGGGACCGCCCUGCCCAGGGCUGGCACCACUAACAGCCUCCUCUGAAAGUUCAUCUCACCCACUUCCCUGCCCCGCACAUUAUUGUGAGUAUGGUGUCCAGACAGCAGAGCUGACUUAGAAGGAGACAAAUAAUAUCCCGUCAUCCAACAGCAUGACCCACUGGGGUCCCUCAACAGUGCUGUGGGCUUGCCCUAUCACUCAUUCAUCUGACCCCUCACUCCCAGAUACACGGAAUCUCCUCUCCGUUCCCUCUCUGCUCUUGACUUUGUACCUACCUGUACUAGGCUUCCCCUGUCUAGGUCCUGAAGCAUCUCACAGCUCCGCUCACAAACCCAGUCAUGGAUGCAUAGCCUCAACUCAGAGCUCAAGCCUUUCCCCUCCUCCAUUCUGGGUUCUUCCUGCCUAGACUCAGCACUGUCUCUCAGACCCCUUACCCCUCCCCCCCCCCCAGAUGUCACCCAUGCUGUACAGAGAUCUACCUCCUGCUGUCCCCAAGUGCUGGUACUAAGGCUGUAGGGUAUCAUGCUGACGUCCCUACCUUUCUUAAGCUCGUCUACCAUCUUGACUUUAAACCUGCAAUCCUCACACGAGCGCCCUUUCUUCUCCCCCGUGCCCCAGGCCUGGCACUGUACGCAGGAGCGGAGGUCCUCACAGAGACCCAGGCGGAUCUGGGAAGAGGAUAAUAGACACCAUGCUGGAUGGACCCAACUCCCUUUCCCUAGUGCCCUCAGCCAGCAUCUCCUUCCCAGCUGCCACCGCAGUUCCUGGGGUUCCAGGAGCCUUUGCCUCACCGCAGAGUAGUUGAUCUCACAGGUGGUGUCCGUGUAGAGCGAUUGCUGGUUGCAGUGACAACGGCCACACUCACAGUAGCCCCGGCCGUUGCAGAUGCCCUGGGGCAGGGGGAGUCAGCAGUGAGCCAGCAGAGCUCUAUCCUUGCCUGCCCUCGCUACGUCCACACCACCUGCCCUGCGCCAAGGCCUACCCCGUUGCUAUCGAUGCAGGUGGCAUUGCUGAGGGGACAGUCACAGCUGCGGCCUGUCCAACCAGGCUCGCACACACACUCUCCCAACGAGCAGCGUCCCCGGUCUGUAAAGAGGAAGGGACAGAACAGUAGAAUCACAUUCAUAUAUGCCAUCCAAGAUGGCCACCCGUGACAGUGGGAGCUCCGUGGUAGACGCUGCCCCUCAGUUUUCUGGAAUCUUCUCCCCUCUGUCCUGCCUUCUUCUGAAGGCAGAGUGACUGUCCCCAAACACAAAUCCAUUCCUGCGACUGACUUGUUCAAGGAUCUCUAUUGGGACAAUAGGCUGGAAAAAAGGUACAGAUAGGAAUAAAUAAGAA